GAUGAACGCUGGCGGCGUGCCUAAUACAUGCAAGUCGAGCGAACGGACGAGAAGCUUGCUUUUCUGAUGUUAGCGGCGGACGGGUGAGUAACACGUGGAUAACCUACCUAUAAGACUGGGAUAACUUCGGGAAACCGGAGAUAAUACCGGAUAAUAUUUUGAACCGCAUGGUUCAAAAGUGAAAGACGGUCUUGCUGUCACUUAUAGAUGGAUCAGAGAUGCAUUAGCUAGGUGGUAAGGUAGUGGAUUACGAAGACAACGAGGCAUAGCCGGCCUGAGAGGGUGAUCGACCACACUGGAACUGAGACACGUUCCAGACUCCUACGGGAGGAAGCAUGAGUAAAUCUUCCGCAAUUCGCGAAAACCUGACGGAGCAACGCCGCGUAAGUAAUGAAGGUCUUCGGAUCGUAAAACUCUGUUAUUAGGGAAGAACAUAUGUGUAAGUAACUGUGCACAUCUUGACGGUACCUAAUCAGAAAGCCACGGCUAACUACGUG
rnacentral:rRNA from 1 species